AAAACGGAUAUGGGGAGCUGGCAGCAGCCGGCUGAGAGGGGACUUAUGCGUCUCGACCCACAACCUGAUUUGGAUAAUGCCAACGUAGGGAUAUGCUUGAGAGAAGAG
rnacentral:ncRNA from 2 species